GGCAUAAUGGUCUAGUAGCAUGAUUCGCGCUUCGGGUGGAGUAUCCCGACGGUACCGUCGAUGUGCGCGAGGUCCUGGGUUCAAUUCCCAGUUAGGCCC